rnacentral:rRNA from 1 species
AUUGAACGCUGGCGGCAGGCCUAACACAUGCAAGUCGAACGGUAACAGGAAACAGCUUGCUGUUUCGCUGACGAGUGGCGGACGGGUGAGUAAUGUCUGGGAAACUGCCUGAUGGAGGGGGAUAACUACUGGAAACGGUAGCUAAUACCGCAUAACGUCGCAAGACCAAAGAGGGGGACCUUCGGGCCUCUUGCCAUCGGAUGUGCCCAGAUGGGAUUAGCUAGUAGGUGGGGUAACGGCUCACCUAGGCGACGAUCCCUAGCUGGUCUGAGAGGAUGACCAGCCACACUGGAACUGAGACACGGUCCAGACUCCUACGGGAGGCAGCAGUGGGGAAUAUUGCACAAUGGGCGCAAGCCUGAUGCAGCCAUGCCGCGUGUAUGAAGAAGGCCUUCGGGUUGUAAAGUACUUUCAGCGGGGAGGAAGGGAGUAAAGUUAAUACCUUUACUCAUUGACGUUACCCGCAGAAGAAGCACCGGCUAACUCAGUG